rnacentral:lncRNA from 1 species
UUUGGAGUUGUGUGGGAUUGAAUAAUUAUGUUUGUAAUAUUUCAGAAGUUGGUAUAAAAAGAAAAGGAAAAAAAAUGAAAAGAAAAAAAUGAAUGAAAAAAAAUAGAAUGAUGUAUACAUGUCAAUACAUACUCCUUAUGAAAAAAAAGAAAAGAGAAAUGAGAAGAAAAUAUGAAUGAAAACAGUUACUAUAGAAUUGUUGAAGUGAAUGAAAUAUUUUG